GACGAACGCUGGCGGCGUGCUUAACACAUGCAGGUCGAACGGAAAGGCCCUGCUUGCAGGGUACUCGAGUGGCGAACGGGUGAGUAACACGUGGGUGAUCUGCCCUGCACUUCGGGAUAAGCCUGGGAAACUGGGUCUAAUACCGGAUAGGACCAUCGUUUAGUGUCGGUGGUGGAAAGUUUUUCGGUGCAGGGUGAGCUCGCGGCCUAUCAGCUUGUUGGUGGGGUAAUGGCCUACCAAGGCGUCGACGGGUAGCCGGCCUGAGAGGGUGGACGGCCACAUUGGGACUGAGACACGGCCCAGACUCCUACGGGAGGCAGCAGUGGGGAAUAUUGCACAAUGGGCGCAAGCCUGAUGCAGCGACGCCGCGUGGGGGAUGAAGGCCUUCGGGUUGUAAACUCCUUUCAGCCAUGACGAAGCGUGAGUGACGGUAGUGGUAGAAGAAGCACCGGCUAACUAC
rnacentral:rRNA from 1 species